GAUGAACGCUGGCGGCGUGCUUAACACAUGCAAGUCGAACGUGAGAGGUAGCAAUAUCUUGAAAGUGGCGAACGGGUGAGUAACACGUAGGUGACCUGCCUCGGAGCGGGGAUAACAGUUAGAAAUGACUGCUAAUACCGCAUGAAUCCACUGGGAUGGGAAGAAUGGUGGAGAAAACUCUGGUGCUUCGAGAGGGGCCUGCGGUCGAUUAGCUAGUUGGUGGGGCAAAGGCCUACCAAGGCGACGAUCGAUAGCUGGUCUGAAAGGACGAUCAGCCACACGGGAACUGAGACACGGUCCCGACUCCUACGGGGGGCAGCAGUGAGGAAUAUUGGGCAAAUGGGCGGAAGCCUGACCCAGCAACGCCGCGUGGAGGAAU
rnacentral:rRNA from 1 species